UACGAAGGGGGCUAGCGUUGUUCGGAAUUAUUGGGCGUAAAGGGCGCGUAGGCGGUUUGUUAAGUCAGCUGUGAAAGCCCGGGGCUCAACCCCGGAGGGUCGACUGAUACUGUGCGACUAGAGUGCGGAAGGGGCAACUGGAAUUCUCGGUGUAGCGGUGAAAUGCGUAGAUAUCGAGAGGAACACCUGCGGCGAAGGCGGGUUGCUGGGCCGACACUGACGCUGAUGCGCGAAAGCCAGGGGAGCGAACGGG
rnacentral:rRNA from 1 species